rnacentral:rRNA from 1 species
AACGAACGCUGGCGGCAGGCUUAACACAUGCAAGUCGAGCGCAUCCUUCGGGGUGAGCGGCAGACGGGUGAGUAACGCGUGGGGAUGUGCCUGGUGGUACGGAACAACUCAGGGAAACUUGAGCUAAUACCGUAUAAGCCCUUUUGGGGAAAGAUUUAUCGCCACCAGAUCAACCCGCGUUGGAUUAGCUAGUUGGUGAGGUAACGGCUCACCAAGGCGACGAUCCAUAGCUGGUCUGAGAGGAUGAUCAGCCACACUGGGACUGAGACACGGCCCAGACUCCUACGGGGGGCAGCAGUGGGGAAUAUUGGACAAUGGGCGCAAGCCUGAUCCAGCCAUGCCGCGUGGGUGAUGAAGGCCUUAGGGUUGUAAAGCUCUUUCACUGGGGAAGAUAAUGACGGUACCCAGAGAAGAAGCCCCGGCUAACUUCGUGCCAGCCGCCGCCGUAA